AAUGACACCAAGGUAGUGCAGUUCUUGUACCAGAAUAAUCCUGCACCUGUAGUCCAGCCUGGCUUGGGGGACCUUGCAGUCAUCAUGCGGCUUGCAUUGGAUUCAACCUACAAUGACUUCUAUGGCGCUCAGGAUUACCCUGUUGUGAAGUACUUGCGAAGACCCUUGUAUUUUGAGGUAGAGAUCCUGUACAGCAGGGAUCCACAGGCUGAAUUGUGUUUGGAGAACUGCUGGGCAACCUAUUCUGCUGACAGGAAUAGCUCUCCAAAGUGGGAUGUUGUUGUGGACAGUUGUGAGAACUCUGCAGAUGAGUACUUGACCAUCUUUCACCCAGUCUCCAGCAAUGCAAGAGUGCUGUUCCCUUCCCAUCUGAAGAGGUUUGAAGUGAAAAUGUUUUCCUUCAAGCGGCCGGGAUGCACUGAAAGGACAGAUUUACUUCCACUGCAGUGUUGUGAUAUGUGAUUCAAACCGGCCAUCAGACAGCCUCUGUAGGAGACGGUGCAUUCCAGGGAAACAGAGGCUUGGUCGCAGUGCUGAAGGGAUGGAUGGUGGUGCAUUAAAGGUGUUUGUGUCUUCUGGCCCAAUUGAGCUGAAGAGAGAUGGGUCCCUUCACUUUAUGCCUAGAAGUGGCCAAUUCAAUGUGUGGUCCCUUCUGGGAGCUGCAAUGGGUGUGUGUUCAGUGGUUAUCUUCGUAGCUGGAGUUGUAUCUUUCUGGAAACUGCCAAAAAGUGUGUAUUGAUAAAUAAAAAUCUUACUUGUAAAA